GACGAACGCUGGCGGCGUGCUUAACACAUGCAAGUCGAACGGAGUGGUGAACGGGUGAGUAACACGUGGGUGACCUGCCCUGCACUUCGGGAUAAGCCUGGGAAACUGGGUCUAAUACCGGAUAGUGUGGGAUGGGCCCGCGGCCUAUCAGCUGGUUGGUGGGGUAAUGGUCUACCAAGGCGGCGACGGGUAGCCGGCCUGAGAGGGUGGACGGCCACAAUGGGACUGCGACACGGACCAGAAGGGUACGGGAGGCAGCAGUGGGGAGUAUUGCACAAUGGGCGGAAGCGUGAUGCAGCGACGCCGGGUGGGGGAUGACGGCCUUCGGGUUGUAAACUCCGUUGACCAUAGACGCGGUAGAUGGAGAAGAAGCACCGGCUAACUACGUGCCAGCAGCCGCGGUAAUAC
rnacentral:rRNA from 1 species